rnacentral:lncRNA from 10 species
AGAACUCCAGGCUUCCUAGGAAGGUCAUGGGAAGGAUUGUGUCCGCUCCAUACAGACCAAGGACAUCCAUGUUGCCCACGUGUUCCUGAGUCAGAGCCACUGAAACCCUUGCAUUCUUUAGCCCUUCGUGGGCUUCUGAUGGAAGCACACAGAUGAAGUGCUUCAUUUUUAUCCCUCUGGCAUCCCUGCUGCACCAUAAGCCCUGUAGCACUUGAUAAGAUAGAUGGGAAUACUGAGCUCAGAGAGCCCGCAGUAGCAGGAGAGACAGGGAUUUGACAAAUGAGAAUGCAUAGAAAAAUGCUGGGACUAUGAGGAGCUCGAGGUGAUGGUGAGGCUUAUGAAGGUCUGCAGCUGACACCUGGUGUGGAGUGGAACUUGGCCAGGGUAAAGAAAGGGGGCAGGAAAGAUGUGCCAUGCAGAGGGGAGCACUGCCUGUAAGGGCCAAGAUGGAAGGGAUCACAGUAAAUGCAAAACUCAGAAAAAUCGGUUAUGUUUGUGAUGGAAGGGAGCAGAGGUUGGAGCUGGCACUGCCAGUGGGGACUUUAGUCCUAAAGCAAAGCAAAAUGUUCUUCUAAAACAGUAGGGCUCGAUCCCUGAGUUCCAGAAACUGGUGGCACCACUGGAUUUGACCUUUAGAGAUUUACCAGGCUGCAUGUGUGGUGGAUGGUGGACAGAGGAUGGGGGCGAGGCUGGACACAGGCUACCCGCAGCUAUUGCCAUGCCCUCUG